rnacentral:rRNA from 1 species
AUUGAACGCUGGCGGCAUGCCUUACACAUGCAAGUCGAACGGCAGCGGACCUUCGGGUGCCGGCGAGUGGCGAACGGGUGAGUAAUAUAUCGGAACGUACCUUUCAGUGGGGGAUAACGUAGCGAAAGUUACGCUAAUACCGCAUAUUCUGUGAGCAGGAAAGCAGGGGAUCGCAAGACCUUGCGCUGAUUGAGCGGCCGAUAUCAGAUUAGCUAGUUGGUGAGGUAAAGGCUCACCAAGGCGACGAUCUGUAGCGGGUCUGAGGGGAUGAUCCGCCACACUGGAACUGAGACACGGUCCAGACUCCUACGGGAGGCAGCAGUGGGGAAUUUUGGACAAUGGGCGCAAGCCUGAUCCAGCCAUGCCGCGUGAGUGAAGAAGGCCUCGGUUGUAAG